CCUCUUUUGAAAAAAAAGGCGAGAAAGCGCAGCCAUGCUUUGCAGAGGCUCCAACGUCGCUCUCAUUGGUAGCAGCAGCCUCUCGCCAAACGGACUCUCUCUCUCUCUGCUCGUCCGUCGUUUCACACCGACGGGGGGAAAAACCGGGAAUACAAGCAACCAUGAUGCCUUCGUGAUGUGAAGAUGUGCAGUGAGGUGAUAAUGCUAGAAUGAAGAGAUAAAAACAGUAGAGCACGGAUAAAUGUUAGCAGAGCUCAGUGUGCUGGGAUCCACCAUAUGGCGUGGAGCUGAUCCUGGUGAGUAUCCUUUGCUUGUGUGUGCUUUAAUGCUCGAUUCUUUGAUCGACUAUUCAUCAAAUUAAUGUGUAAUUCCACUCAAGGCGGUGGUAGAAUACACAUUUAAAAUGUUAGAAGUGGAUGUUGAUCAUUUGGAGAGAUAUUGGUCCUGCACUCUGAACGUUGCACUUGCCAUUGUUAUUGCGGGGUUUAGGGAAUAAACAGACAUUUGAAAAGGUUGAAGAAAAACAGGACGGAAAAGCAUCACGCAGAGUGGACAGAGCGUUUUAUGUCGACGGUUGCAUAAUCAAUAAGAAACAUAAAAGUGGACGGUGCAUUACUGAGCUUCAUCGUUUGUUCGUUACGCGGUGCUUAAGGACAAUAGGGGUCGUGUUCCUGUCGGUGGUCAGAUGGAGGGAGAGAUCAGAAAUAUGAUAAUCUGCUGAUGAUGAUGGAGCUCCAAUUUACAGCUGAUACGAGAGUGGAGUGGUUUGCAGGGGAUGGGGACGUUCCGUCUAAAAUGGCGUUUCCCUUUGUUUCUGCAUCCCUCUCCUCUCUGUAACAGCGAGUGGGUAACGCUGUGCUAUUACCAUAUCCACGAGCCUGCACCUCGUCUUGAAUCUUACAUCCAUACUGCAGACUCUUACGCAGUGGAUUCGGGGAUUUAACGGCAAAAGAGGAGCUGUCAGAUGGAGAAGUGAUCUCCUGUGUGGUUGGCUCAGAGGCUCUGACAGGAUCAGACCUGAGAGCAGGUAGAAGGCACUGACUUCAACUACUAUUGAGCAGAUUUGAUCCUCAAUUAGUCCAUGAAUUUGUCACUGUGUUCUGCAGCAUUGAUGAUCAUAACUGCAUAUCUGUGUCAAGCUCCAAACAAUGACUGCAUUAACGUGAUUCAUCCUAAACCUGCAUCUCGGCGCGUUUAACACCUCAAAAAAACAGCUUGUAAAUUUUUGUGCAGGGACAACAAAUCAGCAGAAUUGUUCUAAAGCCACCCUGCACUCACUUCAAACAGCAUCCCUACAUCAUCCGUGUGCGUGUGCGCGCGCGUGCCAUAUUCCAAGCGUGUGAGCGUGAGUGUAUGUGAGUGUACACGUGUGUUCUCGCUCUCUCUCUCUCGCUCCCUCUUCUUUUUUUUGGACUAGUGCAGUGUUGCAUAACCGUUCACAGCCAAUGCCAGAUUUGGGGCUUCACAAAUUGCGGGGCCAUUGUUGGCAUUUCCUCUACCGGCCCGUUCACACACACGCACACACGCGCACACACACAUAGAGAUACACUCGCACACGCGCGGAGUUCUCUCACCAACUGCCGAUCAUACCGAUCACUACAUAUAUCGGCGAUAAAGCUUCAUAAUACACUGAAUGGGAAGUCGUCAAUUUCCCUCCUAGUUUCAAGGACACAGGGCAGUCAUGAGGAGGACGCUGGGUAAUAUAGAGGAACAUCUGUUUGCCCGGUGACGUCAGCACCCCCCCCCCCCCCUUUCCACCCCCCUUCCACCCCCCCCUCCUCAUCCCAAUCCUCUUGUGCUGAAGGCAGAUGCCUCAUUUGUUUGGCUGGAGCUCCAUUAAUCCCAAAGUCAGAGGAAAAGACCGGACGGAGAGAGAUCAGUCCCAUUUAGGCAGUGUCGGUGUCGGUGGUGCGCUCGUGCUGCGCAGCUCGGGCGCCCGUGGUGUUCCGGUCAGGAGCGCGUACAGGGGACGCCUAUAUCGCUGUGUUCAGGACACCCGCAGUGGCCGAGGCUCUUCGGCUGCCCCGUGUGUGCGUUUGCGGUAGUUUUAACGUGUGACCCGAAAUUAGAAGCUGCAGGCUUGUGUGCGUGUGUUUGUGCGUGUGUGUGUGUGUUUGUGUGUGUGUGCUGUAAGAAAAAAAGGUGCGUGACAAGAAAAAUCAAUAUUUCGAGCGUGGACAGUGACUUUUCCAGUUUUAUGGACGCCCAUUGUGGAAUAUGAGAUUCUGUCACCUACGAAUCUGUUUCAAGUUCAUGACGCAUUUGUCUUUUCUUUUUCUGUAGGUGCAUUCUGGGAUAUUGGAGGACUACUAAGCUCUCUGCAGUUUUGGACAAAGCUGUCGAUGGAAAAAAAAACACACGGAGUCAUUUUUCCCACUUGGACGUAUAAUCAUUUUGCACGCAAAUAGCCUCCCUCUCGGUCACAUAAGCUAAGCUCCAUAUUAAAUGUGUUUAAACAUAAUAAUGUAGGCCUGCACAACAACCGGGAGAGGAUUUGAUCUCUUUGGACACGUGCGGGAAAUCUGUGGAUUCUUCUAUAUUUACUUUUUGGCCACACUUGACAUCCUGGUGCAGAUUUUUUGCUUCAAAUCUUAAAAAAAAAAAAAGUGUCAAAUUAUAUGAGUUCGACGUGUAUGCCUGUUCCCCACAGAAGAGCUCACACACUUGCAUGCAAACACACACCUACACACACUUGCACACACACAGACGAGCGGGUUGUGUCUCUCCGUGUUCACAGCGGACCUUGAUUUAAUGUCUUACAAUUAAGGCACGCGGUGAAUGCCAAGAGAUGAUCCUCCUAACGCCGGAUUUCUGCACAUUGAAGAAUCACGUUUAUUCUCAUGUCACUUUUACUGCAGGUUUGUUUCGAACUGUAACGCAUUAUUCCUGUUGUGCACAUCCCUCCUCUCUUCUUCAACAAUAAAGGAAAUCCACACAACCUUUUUAAUGCUUUGUUUUUAUGUUGACAUUCAUCUGAUGGCUGUGUUUUGUAAAGUGUGUAUGAGUGUGUGUGUGUGUGUCAGUGGGAGCUGUCCAUCCGCACACACUCACACACACACACACACGCAGGCUUGCCGGGAGCGCUGUCCACCUUAUGUGGUGCUGAAAUCUGCGCACCACCGAGCUGCCUUGUGUUUCUCCAAGCGGUGACGGCCUCGGUUGUUUCAUUGUAGUGCAGGAAUGCAGCUUGUAGCCGACAACGGAAUCACUUCAUAAACGCGGAAAACACGCAUAAAUCAGCGGAGGUGUUAUAAAGUAUAAAAAAAGUCUUUAUUUUCUG